GCCCCUCCCUCCCUGGUGCCGCCGCGCGCAUCGUUUAACAGGCCCGACGCGGCGUCGCUGCAGUCUUCGAUUCGUGCUCGCUGAAGAUCAAAAUAUGAGGAACGUGGCGGUACUUUGCGUUCUCCUGGCAGCGGGACAGGUGAGCAGUGACAUCGACACGCUGUUCCGGGAAGAGAUCCCGCGCCGGCCGCGUGCCAGCAAGCCGCGCGUGGAGGACCCGGCCGCCUACGACGUGU